rnacentral:rRNA from 1 species
AUUGAACGCUGGCGGCAGGCUUAACACAUGCAAGUCGAGCGCGCGGCGGAGGGGAGAGUAAUGUCUGGGAAAACGCCUGAGGGAGGGGGAUAAACAGGGGAAAGGGUAGCAUAUCCCGCAUAACCACAGAUGCGCACAGAUGGCAUUAGCUAGGAGGUGGGGGAAUGGCGCAUAUAGGCGACGAUCCCGAGCUGGUCUGAGAGGAUGACCAGCCACACUGCAAUUGAGACACGGUCCAGACUCCUACGGGAGGCAGCAGUGGGGAAUAUUGCACAAUGGGCGCAAGCCUGAUGCAGCCAUGCCGCGUGUGUGAAGAAGGCCUUCGGGUUGUAAAGCACUUUCAGCGAGGAGGCGUUACUCGCAGAAGAAGCACCGGCUAACUCCGUGCCAGCAGCCGCGGUAAUAC